ACGAUGAUUCCCUAGUAACGGCGAGUGAAGUGGGAAGCGUCCAACGUUGAAAGCACUUUGUGCGUUGUAACGUGUGAUCUGCUGAUUUUUUUGAAUGGGUGCUGCAAACGGAAUUGAACGUCCGGCCGUGGAGGGUUGAAGCCCCGUGCAUGUAGCACUCUUAAAAUGAAUUCAGCAGAUCGAGAGUCGGACUAUUUGGGAAUGUAGUCUGAAGCGGGUGGUACACUCCAUCUAAGACUAAAUACGGCUCCGAGACCGAUAGCGAACAAGUACUGUGAAGGAAAGUCGAAAAGCACUCUGGAAAGAAGGUGAAAAGGACGUGAAACCGGCGCGAUACAAGUGCACUGCAGCGUCAAAGUGGGACUCUCCCAACCAACGAUUUUCAUUCGCUGGAUUGUGGGAGAGUCUCCACGCGCCGGGACCCUCGUCGAGGACUUGUGUGGUGCUAGGCCAACACAUCAACUGCUUAAAUCAUUAAGUGGUUGACUGUUGGCGUGCAAUCCAACGCAAGUCUCCAGCGAGGAAGCGUGAGGUAUUUUGUUGUGAUUGGUGGUUGCGAGUGACAGUGAUGAAACUCGCUUCCCAUUAAUACCAACUAAAACCAAAACCAAUAUACACGCACGGCCCGGCGAGACAUUCUGUUGUGCAACCCGUCUUGAAACACGGACCAAGGAGGCUAACGCGUGCGCGCGUCGAGGGACUCUGAAAUCCCCAGGCGAAACGAAAGUGACUUGUGGGACCACCGUUAAAGUGGGCACCACACGCCGGUUCCGGAUUGAAGGUAAUCGAGCGAGAGCGCACGUGAUAGGACCCGAAAGAUGGUGAUCUUUGCUUGACCAGAGAAAAGUCAUUGGAAACAAUGAUGGAAGCUCACAGUGGUACUGACGUGCAAAUCGUUCACGCGAGUUGAGCAAAGGGGCGAAAGACUAAUCGAACCAUCUAGUAGCUGGUUUCCUCCGAAAUAUCCCUCAGGAUCGCAAGAGUUGAGCGUCUCAGUUUCGUCGGGUAGAUGAAUGAUUAGAGGCAUUGGGGUUGUGAUCGACCUCGACCUAUUCUCGAAAUCCAAACCGGCGAGUUGGUAGCAAUUUUUAUGUAAUUCUGCCAGUGAAUGAGCCAGCUCUUAGUGGGCCUUUUUUGGUAAGCAGAACAGGCGAUGCGGGAUGAACCGAAAGUGGAGUUGAGGCGCCCAACUGGAGGCAGACGGACACCACAAAAGGAGUUGGUAAAUUUUGACAAUGAGACGGUUGCCCUGGAAGCAGGUAUCCGUUAAGAAGUGCGUAACAGCUUACUCAUCGAAUUUACUGGCCCUGAAAAUGGAUGGCGCUCUAGCCUCCGGCCGAUACUCCACCUCAGACGCGAAACGAGUCUGGGGGUAGGAGGAUGUUGGGGUUGCUGGAAAGGUCUUUUGCGAGAGAGACUGGAGCGGCCCCAAGUACAGAUCUUGGUUUAAGUAGCACCCAUAUAGAAGCGAGACCCUUCUAGACCAACGUG
rnacentral:rRNA from 1 species